ensembl:lncRNA novel transcript
GUAUGCUGGGAGGACCAAGCCGGAGGUUCCCACUAUGAGCCCGGAGUCUGUGCAGCCAGAUGACGCAUGAGCUCUAUUCAAAAUACCCAAGAUUUGGAAGCAACCUAAGUGCAUAUCAGCAGACAAAUGGAUAAAGAAAAUGUGGUACAUAUACAAAAUGGAGUACUAUUCAGCUGUAAAAAAGAAUGAGAUCCUGUCAUUUGCAACAACAUGCAUGCAACUGGAGGUCGUUAUGCCUCUGCCUCUGAAUGUGAAGGGAAACUGGACCAGCUCAGUGUCAAGCCUACAGACAUUUCCUUGUUCCUGGGGACUGAGCAGUUUGAAGUUUCCAAAGAUGAAAACAUCUACUCUGAAGAGACCUGAAUGGACAAGAGAUGUUUUCCUCUUCCUUACCAUAAUAAAAGAGGACUGCUCCUGACCACAGGAUAUGCCUGGUCCAGGAAAUGGCCACAUUUCCCCCCUCAGGACCUCUACUUGGAUGGGCUGCCUUGGAAAUAAGGUGAACAAUUAGUCUUUAUCCUGAAUUCUCUUUUGAUGACUCUGUUUUCUAGUUAUUAAAGAGUACUUUAACUUAGAGGUA